ACUGGGAGAAGCUAUACGUGGACCAGCCGGCCGGCACGCCCCUGCUCUAUGUCCAUGCCCUGCAGGACGUGCCAGAGGAGAUGCCCAGCUUCCGCCUGGGCUAGCACCUCUACAGCGCCUACCACACGCGGCUGCACGAGAAUGACUGGGUCCGCAUCCAGGAGGACACGGGGCUUCUCUACCUUAACCAGAGCCUGGACCACAGCUCCUGGGAGAAGCUCAACAUCCGCAAGGGCGGCUUCCCGCUGCUUACCAUCUACCUGCGGGUCUUCCUGUCACCCACAUCCCUACGUGAGGGCGAGUGCCAGUGGCCAGGCUGUGCCCGAGUGUACUUCUCCAUCAUCAAUGCCUCCUUCCCAGCUUGCGGCGCCCUCAAGCCCCGGGAGCUCUGCUUCCCUGAGUCAGGCCUGUCCUUCCGCAUCCGGGAGAACAGGCCCCCUGGCACCUUCCACCAGUUCUGCCUGCUGCCCGUGCAGUUCCUCUGCCCCAACGUCAGUGUGGCCUACAGGCUCCUGGGAGGUGAGAGUCUGCCUUUCCGCUGCGAUC